rnacentral:lncRNA from 1 species
ACAUUGCGCCCUAAGUCCAGUCUCGCCCAGGUGUGGCAGGAGCUUUUACCUGCUCUUCGGCAGUAGCCGGCUGCCACUCAACCCCAUGCCUGGUGAGUGGAAAGCCAUCAACCUUUUAUUUAGUCCCUCUCUCGUUGUCGCCUGGGGAGGGGCGACUUUGUACAGUGAGGCACUGGGGUCCGGCACCAUAGUGGGAGUUGGGGUUGUUUACGCGACACUUCUAAGGGGAUUUUCACAAUCGGUUAAGCCCCCGUUAAUCCUCACAUGGUUAUUGCGGCGACCCCCAUAGCCCACGGUCCCAAACGUGUGCAUCUGAAUCAUCCGAAGCUCUUUCUAAAGGCAGGCUCCCCUGGCCGCCUCUCCUAAUCCGACUCGGUACUUCACGGGGCGUGCCUAGAAUCUGCAUUUUAGCAAGGGCCUCGCGUGGACAGAAUUGCACGCUUGAGUUUGAGAAGUACUGCUUGGCCUCUGCCCCACUUACCCUUACCUUCUUGAGAUGAGGUAAAGCACUUGGUAGGCACUAGGCGGGUAGGUUUAUCUUUGCUCCCAAGUCUCUUCCGAGAACUUGGGAAGGCUGCCUAGCUUAGUGAGGGAAUCCAUUCUGGCUUCAGACCAGUCUGGGUUUGAAACCUACACAUCCCACUAACUUAGGCAGGGUACCGAAACUCCCUGAGCUUCAUGUCCUCAUCAGUAAAACGAGGUUAAUCACACCUACACCUUAGCGCGAUGGCUUAAAAAAAAAAAAAAAAAAAACAAACAAAAAAAAACAUAGUCCAUCAAGAGAAAUACAUUUUGCAUACAGACCAGUACACUGCUAUUUGUAUGAGAGUGUCAUAAAGUUUCCGAAAACAAUGCUUACUACUUGUGACGCACUGAUAGUUUCUAUGCUUAUCCUAUCCUAUCUUAUUCUCCUUCUUGUUGAUCAUGACUGGCAGUUUGAAAAACACUGCUAGAAAAGGUUGGUGUGAUAAUACAAAAUGCAGAGCAGAAUACCGGGUACACAGUAAUUGCUGAAUAAAUGUUAAUAGCCUCUUCCAGUCUUCUCCUCUCAGUGUUAGCCUUUGAAAAACAAGACUUUAGACAAUAAUACUCCUCUAGUAAAGAUCCUUCAUGGGAUCCGUAUCUCCUAGAUAAAGCCCAAACUCCUUUCUAGGCAAAGUCCUCCCACUCUUUUUUCUUCUUAACCUCAGCAUCCACCAGAGGACACACUCUUACUGGUGUAUCUUUCAUGCUUUAUCUCCUCCCUCUACCCCCGUUCCCUUCCUACAAAUCCUACCCUUUUCCCUCCAGGAAAGAUUCCAGGUUCCUAAACACUUACGCUUUUUUCCACUAGUUGACUUCCUAUGUGACCCUUCCCUUCUGGUAAACCCCUAUGCAUCCAUGGCCGGAUGUGUUGGCUCACACCUGUAUUCCUAGUGCUUUGGGAAGCCAGAGGCAGGCGGAUCACUUGAGCCCAGGAUUUCGAGACCCAGCUUGGGCAACAUGGCAAAACCCCAUCUCUACAAAAAAAAUUAGCUGCAUGUGGUGGUGCGCACUUUUAGUUCUAGCUACCUGGGAAGCUGAGGUGGGUGGAUCACUUGAGCCUGGGAGUUUGAACUUAAAAUGAGCUAUGAUCACACCACUGCACUCCAGCCUGGGUGACAGAGCGAGACCCUGUCUCUCAGAAAAAUAAAUAAACUCCUAUGCAUCCUUCAAGACCCUGCUCAAAGUCUGCAUACCUCACUCCUGCCCAGCCAUAGCUUCUUCCUCCUCUGUGCUGCCCUGGCACAUGCAAAAGAGCUUCUCUCUCACACACUAUUUCCACACUUUUAUUCUCACUUCUUACUCUCCUGCUAGACUGAGCUGUGGUAGAAGGAUUGAGGCCAGCACAGAGGAGGAUCAGCAGGAAAUGUAAGGGUUGUCCUCAUCUAAUCCGUCAGUACCAGACAGUGAACAUCUCUCCCCCAGGAUGCUGAGGGAGGGUCCUGGAGGGAAGGAUGUGGAACUACAGCCUCUGCUCUCAAGAAGCUCAGAUCUGGGCAGGGAACAUCACAUACCAGGGCUGUCUGUCGGGGGGGUGGAGGGCUGGGGGAGGGAUAGCAUUAGGGGAAAUACCUAAUGUAAAUGACAAGUUGAUGGGUGCAGCAAACCAACAUGGCACAUGUAUACCUAUGUAACAAAUCUGCAUGUUGUGCACGUGUACCCUAGAACUUAAAGUAUAAUUAAAAAAAAAAAAA